rnacentral:rRNA from 1 species
ACAGCAGCCGCCGCGGUAAUACGUAGGUGGCAAGCGUUGUCCGGAAUUAUUGGGCGUAAAGGGCUCGCAGGCGGUUUCUUAAGUCUGAUGUGAAAGCCCCGGCUCAACCGGGGAGGGUCAUUGGAAACUGGGAAACUUGAGUGCAGAAGAGGAGAGUGGAAUUCCACGUGUAGCGGUGAAAUGCGUAGAGAUGUGGAGGAACACCAGUGGCGAAGGCGACUCUCUGGUCUGUAACUGACGCUGAGGAGCGAAAGCGUGGGGAGCGAACAGGAUUAGAUACCCGCGUAGUCCCUGUCUCUUAUACA